AUAAGCUAUUAAGGGCUAAUGGUGGAUGCCUUGACUGUAAGAGGCGAUGAAAGACGUAUUAGGCUGCGAUAAGCCUCGGGGAGCUGCCAAAGAGCUUUGAUCCGGGGAUUUCUGAAUGGGGCAACCCAAUAUAAUGAGAAUUAUAUUACCCUACGGGGAGCGAACCUGGUGAAGUGAAACAUCUCAGUAGCCAGAGGAAGAGAAAUCAAUUGAGAUUCCGUCAGUAGCGGCGAGCGAACGCGGAUUAGGACAAACCCAAUGCUUGCAUUGGGGGUUGUAGGACUAUAAUGUGUAGUUAAAGAGAAUAGAUGAAUUAGUUGGAAAGCUAGAGCAUAGAAGGUGAUACUCCUGUAAUUAAAAUUCUCAAUAACGCUAAUAGUAUCCUGAGUAGGUCGGAACACGUGAUAUUUUGACUGAAGCUGGGGGGACCACCCUCCAAUCCUAAAUACUACUUACAGAUCGAUAGUGAACAAGUACCGUGAGGGAAAGGUGAAAAGUACUGCAGCGAGCAGAGUGAAAUAGAACCUGAAACCAUUAGCUUACAAUCAUUCAGAGCCCUAUGAUUUAUCAGGGUGAUGGACUGCCUUUUGCAUAAUGAGCCUGCGAGUUGUGGUGUCUGGCAAGGUUAAGCCAAGUGCGAAGCCGUAGCGAAAGCGAGUCUUAAUAGGGCGACAUAGUCAGAUGCUGCAGACCCGAAACGAAGUGAUCUAUCCAUGAGCAGGUUGAAGCUGGUGUAAGAGCCAGUGGAGGACCGAACCCGCUGACGUUGAAAAGUCUUGGGAUGACUUGUGGAUAGGGGUGAAAGGCCAAUCAAACUUCGUGAUAGCUGGUUCUCUCCGAAAUAUAUUUAGGUAUAGCCUUGUGUUGUAGCAUAUAGGGGUAGAGCACUGAAUGGGCUAGGGCUGCUUACCGCGGUACCAAACCCUAUCAAACUAUGAAUACUAUAUGUGGAAUCACAGGAGUCAGGCGGUGGGUGAUAAAAUCCGUCGUCAAGAGGGGAACAACCCAGACUAACAGCUAAGGUCCCUAAGUUACAUCUAAGUGGAAAACGAUGUGGAGUUACUGUGACAACCAGGAGGUUGGCUUAGAAGCAGCCAUCCUUUAAAGAAAGCGUAACAGCUCACUGGUCUAGUGAUUCUGCGCGGAAAAUAUAACGGGGCUAAGAUGUACACCGAAGCUUUAGAUUCAAUUUUUAAUUGAGUGGUAGGAGAGCGUUCUAUUCAGCGUUGAAGGUAUACCGGUAAGGAGUGCUGGAGCGGAUAGAAGUGAGCAUGCAGGCAUGAGUAGCGUUAAAACAGGUGAGAAUCCUGUUCGCCGAAAACCCAAGGUUUCCUACGCGAUGCUCGUCAUCGUAGGGUUAGUCGGGUCCUAAGUCGAGUCCGAAAGGGGUAGACGAUGGCAAAUUGGUUAAUAUUCCAAUACCAACAUAUAAGCGCGAUGCUCGUCAUCGUAGGGUUAGUCGGGUCCUAAGUCGAGUCCGAAAGGGGUAGACGAUGGCAAAUUGGUUAAUAUUCCAAUACCAACAUAUAAGCGCGAUGUGGGGACGCAUAGAGUUAAUCGAGGUCACGGAUGGAAGUGUGGCUCGAAGGAUGUAGGUUGUUAAGUAGGCAAAUCCGCUUAACGUUAGACCGAGAUCUUACAGGCUCUUGACACUCUUCGGAGGAGAUGGAGAAUCGAUGAUACUGUCGUGCCAAGAAAAGCCACUAAGUAUAUUAUAUGUUGCCCGUACCGUAAACCGACACAGGUGGGUGGGAUGAGUAUUCUAAGGCGCGUGGAAGAACCCUCUUUAAGGAACUCUGCAAACUAGCACCGUAUCUUCGGUAUAAGGUGUGCCUACUUUGGUAUAUGGACUUGCUCCAAAAAGCUAAAGAGGUUGCAACAAAGAGUCCCUCCCGACUGUUUACCAAAAACACAGCACUUUGCUAACACGUAAGUGGAUGUAUAAGGUGUGACGCCUGCCCGGUGCUCGAAGGUUAAUUGAUGAUGUCAGCGCAAGCGAAGCAUUUGAUCGAAGCCCGAGUAAACGGCGGCCGUAACUAUAACGGUCCUAAGGUAGCGAAAUUCCUUGUCAGUUAAAUACUGACCUGCAUGAAUGGCGUAACGAGAUGGGAGCUGUCUCAAAGAGGGAUCCAGUGAAAUUGUAGUGGAGGUGAAAAUUCCUCCUACCCGCGGAAAGACGGAAAGACCCCGUGCACCUUUACUACAGCUUGACACUGUAGCUUGGAUAUUCAUGUGCAGGAUAGGUGGGAGGCUAUGAUGACUAGACGCCAGUAGAGUCGGAGCCAUCCUUGAGAUACCACCCUUGAAUAUUUGAGUUACUAACUGCGAUGAGUUAACCUCAUUCAGGACAAUGUCUGGUGGGUAGUUUGACUGGGGCGGUCGCCUCCUAAAUAGUAACGGAGGCUUACAAAGGUUAGUUCAGAUGGGUUGGAAAUCCAUCGUUGAGUAUAAUGGCAUAAACUAGCUUGACUGUGAGACCAACAAGUCGAACAGAGACGAAAGUCGGUCAUAGUGAUCCGGUGGUUCUGCGUGGAAGGGCCAUCGCUCAAAGGAUAAAAGGUACGCCGGGGAUAACAGGCUGAUCUCCCCCAAGAGCUCACAUCGACGGGGAGGUUUGGCACCUCGAUGUCGGCUCAUCGCAUCCUGGGGCUGUAGUCGGUCCCAAGGGUAUGGCUGUUCGCCAUUUAAAGCGGUACGCGAGCUGGGUUCAGAACGUCGUGAGACAGUUCGGUCCCUAUCUUCCGUGGGCGUAGGAAAGUUGAAGAGAUUUGUCCCUAGUACGAGAGGACCGGGAUGAACCAACCACUGGUGUACCAAUUGUUCUGCCAAGAGCAUCGUUGGGUAGCCACGUUGGGAUGUGAUAAGAGCUGAAAGCAUCUAAGCUCGAAGCCAACUCUAAGAUGAACUUUCCCUGAAGUUCCCAGCAAGACUAGCUGGUUGAUAGGCUGGAUGUGUAAUGGGUGUAAGCCCUUUAGCUGACCAGUACUAAUAGAACGUUUGGCUUAUUUUA
rnacentral:rRNA from 1 species